CAUUUGUACCAUUUACAAUAGAUUAGUUUAUAUUCAUAAUUUUGUAAGUAAUAAAGUACCACAAAUGCAAUUGUCUAGGCAAAAAAUCAAAAAUGAAUUUGCUCUUUUUUCGUUUACAAUGAAAUACUGAGAGAUUGCAUAUAUAGAUGAUUUCAACGGUAACAACAUAAACAAACGCUACUGCGCAUCUGCGUUGUUGUGGCCCUAACUUAACUUCCAGCAGACUUCCGCAAACAAUCAAUAACAACAGAGUCCCUCUAGACUAUUUCUGAUAACAAGCAAAAUAAAUAACAAGUAAAUUACGCUAGCUAGCUGGUUAUUAGUUAAAUCUAUGUCUAGCCAGUAUUAUUUGAGGUUACCAGUCGAAGAAAAGAACCGUUACUUGGCCAAACUCAAAAACAAGUGACAGAAACAGAUUAGAUUUGUUUAUAUUCAGAAUUUUGGAAGCAAUUGUCUAGGCAAAAAAGCAAAAAUGAAUUUGCUCUUUUUUAGUGUGCAAUGAAAUACUGAGAGAUCUCAUAUAUACAGCAGGUUAAACUAAACAUGUCCUGGAUCAAAAGCUCCUUGACCACAAGUUAAUAAAAUCUAAGGGUAGAUAUGUAGAACUACUAAAGUUCUAUGAAGCAAAAAAUAAUCAGUGUACCCAGUGUCUCCAAAUCUAUCCAAAAUGUCUAAAUUAUGCAUUGAUGUAAAUCACAACAAUUCACGUAUUUCAAUACAAAUCAACUGAUUUGACUCAAGAAGCUCACUGUAGCAUAAUUUUCAAGUUGGAAUUACAAACUUUCCAUCAGUACAAUGAUCAAAAAUUUCUAGGGGUCCAGAAACAUAUCCAAAGUCUCUCCAAAAAUGGAAAAAAUGUUUUUUCCAUUAUAAAGCAUAUAAAUGAGCCCCUUGUGAAGGUUUAAGAUGAAACAUUCAUAUCGGAUUAAAAAAUAAUGCAAAAAACAUUUCAUACAAUGCGGUACAGUAUCUAAAUGUGUAAUAAUGAACUCUUGUGUGUAUUUCUGUACUCUACAGUAUGUAAUGUUUUCUUGUAUGGGGCAUGAAAACAAUAUUCAACCAUCCACCAUAUUUUGGCAAUGUUCCAACUUUCACGUCAUAUCUAGUGCAUGAAACACAAAAACUAUUAAGCUGCUAACGAACAGUUACACAACAGUGUGAAAUAACCUCAUUAUAAAAUACCACUAACCUAUUUAAAGACACUCAAUUUCAAAAAUAACGUAUAUAACCAAAAUAUUUUGAGCAGUAAUAGGGCCUCAGAAGUCUGAGUAAUGCAGAGCAAAAACCUUGCCCAUAUAUGGAAUUCUGGUUCAAAGGGAAAUUUCUCUAUAGAAAAAAUGAAUGGAUUUUCACAUAACCGUCCCUGUCACAGUCUGUGAUUUAAGCUGGCAUUUAAAACUUGGGCGUUUUUAUCCGGACACAGUUCUAAAUGGAACUGGAUCCACUGAAUUCCGAUGUCGUUUUUCAACCAAAACAAUAAUUUUGCCAACAAAAAGCUAACGCAUGUUAUUUACGUCACAGCUCUUGCGGUUCCCUGGCAACACUUGUGAAGCACAAGUAGCCUAGUUAUAUUAAGAUGCUUACAACGAUUUAUACAACUAUAAAAAAUAGAAAAAUGUAUCAUUUAUUACACUAACGGGAAACAACGGGAAGAAAACGAUUUUUGUGUGUGUAUCGAAACAGCUCCAUGUGUGAUGUUGUAAUUGUGCGACGGGUCAUCUUGGGUGGCUAACCACUUAGCAAUUGGCUUUUUAAACUGACACAGAAUUUUUUUAGAUUAUAAAAAAUGGGUGAAAAGCAUAAUUUUUUCAUAAACAAAAAAAUGUCCAAAUGUCAUAAUUUAUUUUAAAGGAAUUCGGAAAUUUGUUCCAUAGGGGUGUCUAUUUUUUGAACUGGAAGUCUCGAAAAUGCUAACGAACCUGAAGGGAAUAAUGACUUCUGAGGCCUAUAGACAUUACAUUACAGGCAUUUGGCAGAUGCUCUUAUCCAGAGCGACGUGCAACAAAGUGUAUAACCAUAACCAGGAACAAGUAUGUCAAAAACCCUAGAGAGAAGUACCGUUCCAAGUGCAGGGAACAACCGCAUAGUUCAACUUGGACCCUGAAGGUUAAACUGAUUAACACUAACACAAAUGAGAACAGCAACAACGCAGUCUAUGCAAAAAUACAAGCAGUAGUUAAGACAAGUGCAUUAACUAAGUCACCUACGAAACAGCUACCUAGUUACAACCCUAAGCUUACAGUCAAUUAAGAGAUUACAGGGAGGUAGGGAGGGAUGGGGAGAGGUGCAGCCUGAAGAGGUGAGUCUUCAGUCGUCACUUGAAGUGGGUCAGUGUCUCAGCUGUUCUGACCUCCACAGGGGGGGAUGAUGAAAUGUUAUCUGUGUUUAGUAGAUAGAGACAGAGACAGUAAAUCAAUCCUGUCAUCCUCUCCUCUUCUCUUACUUCAGAAAACGAUGUCAGCUAGGUCAAUCAGCAAUCCUAUGGCUUAGCUAUGCUCAGAAGUCCUGAAUAAUAAUAUUUUCAGAGAAUCUGCGAAAAUCACUGAUAAGGUUUCAUCGGGUGCAGUGUCUUUUACUGCUACCACAGAGUGAAUGUGCGAGUGAAUACGAUGAUGAGAACACUUUCAGUUACACUGAGCUAUAAAACACUAUUCCAAAUGCAAAAUUAGACAUAUCAUACAUUGUCAGAAAGCUUAUUCUAUCAUCUAUUUGUGCCAUCACAAAUGCCCGUAUAUUUCACAAAUGGAUUAUCCAAAACAAUAUUUGACCACUCAGUCUGAAAAGGGACAUCUCUACGCGUAAAUGGUAAGGUUGUAUAUUUAUUCAAUAUUUAGUCCAAGAUAUUGACUGUACAAUGACAUGGUAUCAUUUUUGAAAACUUUGUCUUGUUUAUUUUGUUAUUCAGUGAGCAGCGUUUUCACUGCUGUAGUGGUAUAUCUUAGGGCUAUUGUUGGAUUUAUCUUGUUGCUAUGACAGAAUACAAUUUUGAGUGGUGAAAAAAUAUUUUUAUGAAUACCCAGAUAGACAAUAUUGUCCAUUAUGUCAUGGGUGGGGGGUGUAGUUGCAGAUGAGACUGCAGGGAGGGGGUGCUUGUUAAAUGAAUGCUUACAACUAUGGAAAUGUGUUGUAAAAACCACACAAAAGACCAAUGAAGAUCACCAUUAUUUUAGACACGCAGUGCACUUUGGGUAGAUGAUGUAAAAUGGUUGCACCGGAGGUUAACUCAGCAGUUACGGUUAUUAAUAGUGAAAAAUAUCAAUACAAUGCCACAGAAUUAGUGUGUGUUGUGAUACAUGGGAUAUCUGUGAAUAGGGUGGAUUCAAUAAACAUCUUAGUGUAUCAGCAUGUGUUAUCAUUUAAGGAUUAUGGAUUUAAAGGAGGUAGGCUAUUAUCACGGGUUUAAGCUCAUAUCGUAACGUUAUUAUUGAUCCACAUCCUAUAUAUACAAUAACGUUACAUCAUUAUUUAUUUAUUUAUUUUCUUCUAAUUAAACUGCAAACAUGCACAUAUACAGGUAGGACAACCAAUGUUUCAGUCAUCUCAAGUUCCCAUCAUGAGAAAGAAAUAAUGACAAAAUAGAAUAUAAUUUAUUCUAACAAAAAAUAAAUGUGAAAAAUAUUUCAAUGGAAAUUGAAUUAUGUUCUAUGCUAUGCAACCACAAUGGGUUUCCCGGCUGUGGGUGAAAAAAGAUGUGAAUCCUUGCGAGUAUCGAUUAACAAGGUCCAGUUAUUUUAAACCUCAUUAGAACAAGCAAAAAACACCAAUAACAGGGGAUAAUCAAAAAGCCAUUAGUGCAGGCCUGCAGUGAUUUACAGUCUCAAUACUGGAACGUACACCUGGGCCAUUCACAUCAGGAUAGCCCCAAAACCUGCUAGAACUCUUAGUGUGAAUGCUGGAGACACAUCUCAAGGAACUCAGCUCAAUUGGACAGUAAACCAGCAUGACUGUAGCGGAAAAUUGCAUAAUGGACUUCUCUGUCACACAAAAAGAUGCCCUUGCUACAACACUGAGAAAAACUACAACAAAUACAUCACAAUUUAAGCCCUUUUUUUAUUUUAUUCAAAUUAACCGUAUUCAGGCCAAAGUGGGUUUAUUUGCUUUCAUUGUUUUUUUUUUUUUACGGUGACAAUUUCAAUCAGUCUGCGAACACAAUAUAUUGUUUGAAAGUGUUAAAACUCAUGGUUCUAGCUCUGUAAACUGUUUUAUGAUCUCAUUGUUAUAGUGACAACAGUUUAUUACUUUGUAAUGUGUGGACACAAAAAAGCUUCACCAUAUAUGCAUUUUGUCAAUCCACAAAGGACACAAAUCGUGAUAAAGAUGGUAUCCUUAUCACGGCAAGGGUCCAACAAACAAAACAAAAUAAUAUUUUUUAUCAAUACAAUGCAAACUCAGAGAAAAAUCAAUAGAACGUAUAUUGUUUACGUAGCAAUUCUCCAGAGGAAUUAUCAUUAUUGUCCAUUUAUCCAAGAAAUACAUGCAGAAGGUACUGUGUACAUAGAAAAUGUUUAUAAAUAAUCUCCAGUUUAUAAAUACUCUCUGGAACAAGAUGCUUCGACCAACAAGGUUAUCUGACCAAUACUGGCCAAGCAGUCUCUCAACGUAACCAUUGGGACAAUGUGCACCAAUGUGCACAAGCAACAACUUGACAUGGACACCCUAAUUUCUCCCCAGUACACAGCCAGCCAACGGCAAACUAUUAUAGUGAUGAUGAAUAAGCAUUUUAGCCAAUUAAAUUAUGAUUCCGACAUUGUAUAGAUUGUUAGGCUUAUAUAAAAUAUGUAUUGUCGCUGUGUAAACAAAUCAUGAUCCUUCAGUACAUACACCGAGAACAUUACACACAGGCAAAGAGGUUAUCGAGAUUUGAGAUCUUGAAAGUACCUAAAAUGACUACUGUUUCUCAACUAGAAUUUAUUUUGCAAUGGCUGAGUCUGAACAAAAGGCUCAGCAUUUGGAGUUUUGAAGAAAUCACUUGUCGUAAACAUUUCUGAGGACAGUGAAAAAAACUUUGACUCCACAGCAGAGGGGCAUGUUUAAUGAAGGAUCUGAUUCCAUUUUAGAUCGGUGAGCAUCUAAAUACAUUCAAAAUUCAUUCAAUACAAUACAUUCUCAAAAUAUUUGUAUUAUUAUUCAGUAUGUUUAUAAAUAAUGCAUAAGCCUAAUUUUGAAUAAUACAUGUGGCAUGUGAAACUGAGAUGUGUUUGUAGGGGAGUGUGGGUGUGGCUCAGCUGAGGGGAGAGGCAGGGGGGAGUGGCUUACGGGAACAGAGCUGGGAGAGAGUUAAUUAGCACAGGUGUUCCUGGUAACUAAUUACUCUCUCCCUAUAUAUGCAGUAGCAGCUGGGCCGGCGCGAGGGAAGAAACACACGCCGUGCGGAGAGCAGCAGCACAUUUUCGUGAGAGCCAAACUGGGCAUUUUGUUUUGUUUAAACGCAAUGGUUUAAGUUUCUGUGUGUGCGCCUGUGAAAUAAAAGGAGUUAUUCCUGUA